rnacentral:ncRNA from 1 species
UAUGGUUCCUUUUCCGCCCCCGGCGGCGAAGGAUUAAAAGGGAAACAAGUGAAAUUCUUGUACAGUCCCGCUGCUGUAAUUGCGGAGCGGCUUUCAAAAUGCCAUUGAAUGAUUUUGAGAAGGCGAAGGCUUGCGAUGAUGCAUAAGUCAGAAGACCUGCCAUAUCCGA